UACAGAGGGGGCAAGCGUUGUUCGGAAUUACUGGGCGUAAAGGGCGCGUAGGCGGUGCGGUAAGUCACCUGUGAAAUCUCCUGGCUCAACUGGGAGCUUGCAGGCGAAACUGCCGUGCUGGAGUGUGGGAGAGGUGCGUGGAAUUCCUGGUGUAGCGGUGAAAUGCGUAGAUAUCAGGAGGAACACCUGUGGCGAAAGCGGCGCACUGGACCACAACUGACGCUGAGGCGCGAAAGCUAGGGGAGCAAACAGG
rnacentral:rRNA from 1 species